ensembl:lncRNA
ACUCAACCAACCCACAUUCAACCUCAUGAAGUCCGACAGGCAGUACUGAAGCAUAGGUGCAAAAACAUCCAGACUUUGAAACAGCAUAUAACCCCAGGCCAUCAGUGUUAUUAAUAGAUGUCCCCACUCCCACCUAUACCACUACACACAUGACAUGGACAAUAUACAUGGACAAACUGCAUUAGGUGUAUACACUUAUGUAUAUUUUAUGUAUUUUAUGCUGUAUGUGAUUGUCUUACAUUGUGUUUUUUAAUCAUGUGUUUAGUUACUGUGAUUUUAUACCAUUUAUUAUCUAUUUUCUAUUUUAAGUGUGUCUGCAGCAUCCAGAGGUGAGGUUUUACUGUAUUUGGUAAGAUAAUUUAAAAUAGACGGCCUCUGCUGUGGUUCUCUCAGUGUGUAUCGGUAUUUUCUGCCUGUAUGCGCUUUCAAAACAAAAGGCUUGCAGCCAAAGGACACGACGCUCGGAAUGUGUCGUCUUCGAAGAACCCACGACACUAUUUUGUUCACAGCGUUUCAACUGUGCGAACGUAAUGAGAAUUCCCACUUGCAAAUUUCAGUGUGUAAAGGUAAAGUCACUAGUAAGAUGCGUUUCGAAUAUGUCCCUUAUUCUAGUUGAUGGCUUUUGGCGUGUUAUGUUACGUGAAAUCACAACAUGAGAGCCACCUCGUACUGUCAAAGAACUAUGCAGUUGUUACAACAAUUAGGUUCUGUUUAUUCAUGUCUGAUUGGACAAGAGGCAUUCUAUGAGCGGGGUUAUCCUGGCACAACCCCACUCGGACUCUUCGCCUCGCCGCUAGAUUGAUAUACAACGUCAUCAUUCUAUUAAUUCAAAGCGAUGUUACAUGUAACAGUUUUCGAGUGAGGAAAAGUGUAGUAGGAGAAAUGUACAAAUUAACAUGUAACUUGAAGACAGGUGAGUGUGCAAAUUAAUGUGAACAAAUAGCGUUUCUGACUCAUCCUGGCUACAGAGUCACCGCAAAGGCCAUAUAACAUAUCUGGUGACAGCAGUCGUAGCUUGGCUACACUUGACGCCGAAAACUCAGGUUGGAAUUUUUUUUGGUGCAGAGAAUGAAUAGACAAAAUCGACAUUAACAGAACACGAUCUGGUGUCUUCCUCAAACUCAAUUAGUCGGUAGUAGAACUGUUUUAUAAAAGCACAUAGUAUAUCUACAGGGCAGGUAAUCAAUUCCCCACUCUCACUCGUGUCAUAGGCUAUUGCUUAAGAAUUCUUGAUGUAAUCUAUGUACCGUAUUUUCCGGACUAUAAGCCGCUACUUUUUUCCCACGCUUUGAACCUCGCGGCUUAAACAACGAUGCGGCUAAUUUAUGGAUUAUGAUACCUGUGACUGUAUACGGUGGCUUUGUGUUUACGGUGGCUUUGUGGAGCUAGGAUGCUAGCAUGGAUGCAGCCGCAUGGAUGCUUAGCUCCACGCGAUUUCUCAGUAUCUCUCAAUAACUUAACUAAUGUCAAAAUAACCACAGUCUACCAGCGUAGACAGAACACAACUCAAAACACUUUAGAAAAUAAAAUAAAAGUUUACAACAAUACAAAUCCAGUCUUCAAGUUCUUUAGCUCACUGGUUUCAAACUAGCGUCUGU